UACGGAGGGUGCGAGCGUUGUCCGGAAUCACUGGGCGUAAAGGGCGCGUAGGCGGCCUGAUAAGUAGGGGGUGAAAUCCUGCGGCUUAACCGCAGGGCUGCCUUCUAAACUGUCAGGCUAGAGCACAGUAGAGGCAGGUGGAAUUCCCGGUGUAGCGGUGAAAUGCGCAGAUAUCGGGAGGAACACCGGUGGCGAAGGCGGUUCUCUGGGCCUGACCUGACGCUGAGGAGCGAAAGCGUGGGGAGCGAACAGG
rnacentral:rRNA from 1 species